rnacentral:tRNA from 1 species
AACUUCCUGGCGCAAUGGUAGCGCAUCACGCUUUUUACGUGAAGGCUAUGAGUUCGAAUCUCAUGGGAGUUA